GAUGAACGCUAGCGGCAGGCCUAACACAUGCAAGUCGAGGGGUAACGUGAGUGCUUGCACUUGACGACGACCGGCGCACGGGUGCGGAACGCGUAUGGAACCUACCUUUAUCAGGGAGAUAGCCCAUGGAAACGUGGAUUAAUAUCCCAUAGUAUUAUUUUAUCGCCUGAUAGAAUAAUUAAAGAAUUUCGGAUAGAGAUGGCCAUGCGUAUCAUUAGCUAGUAGGCGAGGUAACGGCUCACCUAGGCGACGAUGAUUAGGGGUCCUGAGAGGGAGACCCCCCACACUGGUACUGAGACACGGACCAGACUCCUACGGGAGGCAGCAGUGAGGAAUAUUGGGCAAUGGAGGCAACUCUGACCCAGCCAUGCCGCGUGCAGGAAGACGGCCCUAUGGGUUGUAAACUGCUUUUAUACAGGAAGAACACCACCCACGUGUGGGUGACUGACGGUACUGUAAGAAUAAGGACCGGCUAACUCCGUG
rnacentral:rRNA from 1 species